UGAGACACACUCUUGGGCUCCCAUAGCCACACUUCAUACUUCAUGUUUUUAAACUUUUCUCUCCUAGGGUUUCAUGGAUGAACAUGCCUUAAGGGAGCUUGCUUGGUAUUGCGGUUUUGGGCCAUUUGAAUGAAGAAAGUUGCAUAUUUUCUUUGUCUCUUAACUUACUCUUGGUUGUCUUAGCUUGUUGGUGGUGAAAAACCAUUCAUUUCUACUUCCAUUUGCUUGUUCUUCAUGCUUGAAGCUUGAGCUUUGGAGCUUGUCUUUGCAUUUCAAUGGUGGAUGUUGGGUUUGAGUAACUUUAUAUUUCGUUUUCCUAUCCUUUUGCUACUGUUUCUCUCAAUUUUCAUCUCAUUUUAAUUGGUUGGAUGAUAAAAAUGGAGUUCUAUGUGAGUUUUGGGUUGAAAAGAGCUUAAGUUGAUGUGUGGGCGUUGUGGUUUGGACUCUUUCUUCUUGAUUUUCGGUUUUGAUGUUUGAAACAAGGAUGGGACUAGAUUUUGGUGUUGUUAUUGUGGCUGGACAGAGCUGGAAUUNAUUNNUUGGUUAUCAUUUUCGUUUUUNCAAGGGAAAUUGAAGAAAUGGAAGAUUUGGUUAGGUUGAAGUAGCAUAUGUUUGGGUUUAUUGUUCAUGACUUGUUUUGAAUUGGAUUCCUUGAGUUUUAUGGUGUAUGUUUCAGUAAAAUGGAGGAANAAAACAUGAAUNGUNUGUUGGUAGGNAAAGAAAAACGAAAAUGGAGAUAGGAAGGAGGAGAGAAGGUGCAUUAAGUUUUUACCCGAUUUGGACAAGCACAAAAGAUGCUCACUUUCACUCUAAGAAUGUUUCCACUUUUGAAUUUUGUCUUUUCGUUGCUUGUUCCAGCCGUGAAUCACCAUGAGAACGGAGGAUGUUUGAGGUUAUUUUCUUUGCUUUUACUUUGCUUACAUGGGACCUUGGGUGAAGCAUUCAAAGUAUCUUUCAUUUGCACAUUGGUCUUUGAAGCAACUUUUUGUAGAAGCUCCUUGCUAGCUCACGACAAUUGUGUCUUGGUUUGUGGAUUUUAUUUUUCUUUGCUUCAUGGUUGAAGAGAGAGGACGGUUUUAUUGUGUUUGGAAUGCACAUGUUUAAUUUCUUGAGAAAUGGUGCACAUGGGACAAGAAGUCAACACAUUUUUAUGGCUUAUUGAAGGAAGAAAAGUGGACUUGGAUGUUGGAGGGCUGCACCUCACGGCCAUGAGGUUCUAUUUGGCCAAUUGGACUUUUAAAAUUAAUUGCUAAUUGUCAUUUAGUCAAGUAAUUUGCUAGGAUUAAAUUAGGCUUGUUGGUUUCUUUGGUUUUUAAUUAAUUUAGUUAAUAGGUUGAGUUUAAUGUGUUUGAAUUAGUGUGGAG
rnacentral:lncRNA from 1 species